UGCAUUUCUAUUUUAGGGAGAUGUUAGCUGCAGCCAUCCUCAGAUGUCCAGCGUGUGUCUGCCAGAAAAGUCCAGAAACUCUGGCUUAGAGUGAAAACAGUCUCACAUCUUCAGGAGGAGUAAACGAGCAACAACACAUAAGGAGGAAGUGGGGAGUGAGAACCGAAGGAACACCAGAACCAAGCUCACUCCAAAGAAAGCAGAGGUACCGGCCAGAACCAAACAGCUGAACUGGUCACCUGGAGACAAAGAGCUGAUCUGUUUUACUUCUGUGGUCAGAGCUUUUCCUCAGGUUGUCGGUUUGACUCCCAGAGCAGCAGGAAGGACGGCACGCUGCAGAAGAUCGGAGACUUCCUGCAGAGCUCCCCGACUCUGCUGGGCUCCAAAGCCAAGAAGAUGAUGAGCCUGGUCAGCGGCCGUCUGGACCCAGACUCAGCAGCCGCCUCUUCCUCCCUCAGCCUGAGGGCCAAGAGGGGCAGAAAGAAACUCUACAGACCUGAAAUCUCCUGCCCCAUGGACAUGCCCCCCCACCCGGUAAGAGCCCUGAACCGACAACCUCAGCAAGCUGCAGGAGAACCAGCAGAACCCAGACCUCAGUCAACCAGGCCGGUUUUAUCAGA